ensembl:tRNA
GACACGGUGGCCGAGUGGUUUAAGGCAUGAGACACUUGAUCUCAAACGGUUCUAACCGAACGCAGGUUCGAAUCCUGCCCGUGUCA